rnacentral:rRNA from 1 species
UACGGAGGGUGCAAGCGUUAAUCGGAAUUACUGGGCGUAAAGCGCACGCAGGUGGCUGAGUCAGUCGAUUGUGAAAGCCCUGGGCUUAACCUGGGAAUUGCAGUCGAUACUACUCAGCUAGAGUAUGGGAGAGGGUAGUGGAAUUCCCGGUGUAGCGGUGAAAUGCGUAGAUAUCGGGAGGAACAUCAGUGGCGAAGGCGGCUACCUGGCCCAAUACUGACACUCAGGCGCGAAAGCCAGGGGAGCGAACGGG